AGCCAUGCGAGUCAUUGUAGUAAUACAAGGCAGACGGCUCAGUAACGCGUAGUCAACCUACCCUAUGGACGGGGAUAACCUCGGGAAACUGAGAAUAAUACCCGAUAGAACAUUAUUCCUGGAAUGGUUUAUGUUUCAAAUAAUUUAUUGCCGUAGGAUGGGACUGCGGCCUAUCAGUUUGUUGGUGAGGUAAUGGCCCACCAAGACUAUUACAGGUACGGGCUCUGAGAGGAGUAGCCCGGAGAUGGGUACUGAGACACGGACCCAGGCCCUAUGGGGCGCAGCAGGCGAGAAAACUUUGCAAUGUGCGAAAGCACGACAAGGUUAAUCCGAGUGGUUUCUGCUAAAGGAACCUUUUGUCAGUCCUAGAAACACUGAUGAAUAAGGGGUGGGCAAGUUCUGGUGUCAGCCGCCGCGGUAAAACCAGCACCUCAAGUGGUCAGGAUGAUUAUUGGGCCUAAAGCAUCCGUAGCCUGCUUUGUUAGUUUUCGGUUAAAUCCAUAUGCUCAACGUAUGGGCUGCCGGGAAUACUGCAAAGCUAGGGAGUGGGAGAGGUAGACGGUACUCGGUAGGAAGGGGUAAAAUCCUUUGAUCUAUUGAUGACCACCUGUGGCGAAGGCGGUCUACCAGAACACGUCCGACGGUGAGGGAUGAAAGCUGGGGGAGCAAACCGGAUUAGAUACCCGGGUAGUCCCAGCUGUAAACUAUGCAAACUCGGUGAUGCAUUGGCUUGAUGCCAAUGCAGUGCCGCAGGGAAGCCGUUAAGUUUGCCGCCUGGGAAGUACGUACGCAAGUAUGAAACUUAAAGGAAUUGGCGGGG
rnacentral:rRNA from 1 species